rnacentral:other from 1 species
AUAUCCCUGCUUUGUGCGUGGGCGGGUAAUCCUCGAACCUAACUUUUGUGCAAGGGAGCUGAGUCCAAGGCGGUUGUGAGCAUGUUCCAGCGUGACCGGAAAAGCCUAAUGCCACCAUCUCGGUGCCCACCUGGUGACCCAGGUUUGAUUUGAUCUCCUUCUCACGGCAAAGUGGGGAUUUU